rnacentral:rRNA from 1 species
UGAACGCUAGCGGCAGGCUUAACACAUGCAAGUCGAGGGGUAACAGGAGUGCUUGCACUCGCUGACGACCGGCGCACGGGUGCGUAACGCGUAUAGAACUUACCUUUUACAGAGGGAUAGCCUUUAGAAAUGAAGAUUAAUACCUCAUAGUAUUGAGACUCGGCAUCGAGUCUCACUUAAAGAUUUAUCGGUAAAAGAUGGCUAUGCGUCCUAUUAGUUAGUUGGUAAGGUAACGGCUUACCAAGGCAGCGAUAGGUAGGGGUCCUGAGAGGGAGAUCCCCCACACUGGUACUGAGACACGGACCAGACUCCUACGGGAGGCAGCAGUGAGGAAUAUUGGGCAAUGGAGGCAACUCUGACCCAGCCAUGCCGCGUGCAGGAAGACUGCCCUAUGGGUUGUAAACUGCUUUUAUACAGGAAGAAACACUGCUACGUGUAGCAGCUUGACGGUACUGUAAGAAUAAGG